GAUGAACGCUAGCGGCAGGCCUAAUACAUGCAAGUCGAACGAUACCAAGGGGCUUGCUCCUUGGAAAAGUGGCGCACGGGUGCGUAACGCGUAUGCAACCUACCUUUAUCAGGGGGAUAGCCCGGAGAAAUCCGGAUUAAUACCGCAUAAGAUCACAGGAUGGCAUUAUCCAAUGAUCAAACAUUUAUGGGAUAAAGAUGGGCAUGCGGGUCAUUAGCUAGUUGGCGGGGUAACGGCCCACCAAGUCGACUAUGACUAGGGGAUCUGAGAGGAUGGCCCCCCACACUGGUAGUGCGACACGAACCAGGCUCCUACGGGAGGGAGCAGGAAGGAAUAUUUGUCAAUGGGCGGAAGCCUGAUCCGGCCAUGCCGCGUGCAGGAAGACUGCCCUAUGGGUUGUAAACUGCUUUUAUCCGGGAAUAAACCUACUUACGUGUAAGUAGCUUAAUGUACCGGGAGAAUAAGGAUCGGCUAACUCCGUGCCAGCAGCCGCGGUAA
rnacentral:rRNA from 1 species